AGCCCCGGACCGGGGCCGAGCGGGGGCCGAGCGGGGCCGCCGCGCCCUUCCAGCCUCCCGAGGGCGGCUUCGGCUGGGUCGUGGUCUUUGCCGCCGCCUGGUGCAAUGGCUCCAUCUUCGGCAUCCACAAUUCCUUCGGGAUCAUCUACACCAUGCUGCAGAGCGACCUGGGCGAGGGCAAGAAGGACCCCACGCUGGAGUUUAAAACAGCGUGGGUUGGCUCCUUGGCCAUGGGCAUGAUUUUCUUCUGCUCUCCCAUUGUGAGCAUCUUCACUGACCGCAUCGGCUGCAGGACCACAGCAGCCUUGGGAGCUGCCAUCGCCUUCAUCGGGCUCCUCUCCAGCUCCUUCACCAAGUAAGGAUAAAAGUCUGGGGCAGACGGGGGUGUUCAGCCUGGAUAAACUACAGCCCACAUCCCUCUCCAAGCUGCAGUUUUGUCCUUAACAAGCAUGAGCUUUACUCAAGCGUGGGGCUUGCUGCACGUUUCCCCAGGCAGGUGCUCUUUAAUGUGCGUUUUGAUGGUAGCUCUACCCAAUGUGAUGUGAUAGACUUUCUAACCCAAUGCAUUUCCAUCUCGGUGAGAGCAAAAAGAGGUCGCCCCCACUGUCCUUUACUCACAGCUCUUUGCAUGUUGUCUCAAAGGCACUGCAUCCUCCAGAGUGUCAUUUGCCUCAGUUUGUCUGAAUAAAAAUUUUGCUGUGGGUUGGGUUUCAGUUCCAAUCAAUAUUGUUUUAAUUAGAAUGCUGCAAGAAGUGGUUUUUCAAGCAAAAACUUGCUGGUUUCAUAGAGGGCGUGCCUGGCGUGCUCCCACCCUGGGGUGCCUUGUUGGGAACCGUGGCCCCCUGCAUCUGUAGUUGCCCUGUCACCAUGCAGAAGGGUAGGGCAACAGGGACAUCUCCCUGGAAAUUGAGGACUCUCAGGGUCAUGGGGCUGGGGAUGCCUCUGUCAUUGGAUUUGGCACAAAGGGCUGGGUUCAUAUCAACCACCAUGCUUUAGGAAGAGAGAAAUCUUGCUGUGUGAGGUAUUUUGUGGUUGUACUGGAAUUGCUAAGUCACAUCUUGAAACAAUGGUGAAAAACCUGGUGGGAAAACAGGGCCAACCCAAGGGAGCUCAGGGGCAUGCAAUGUACCUGAGUGACCAGAAGGGGUGGAGCCAGGAUCCACCACUUCCCAAACCUCAUUUAAGGGUUGGCAGUGGAGGCAAGGGUAUCUUGUUGGAGUUUCCUGCAUACUUGAGGCCUUCUGAAGGCAAGCAUCUUCUUUCCUUUAUUUCUGUGCCCAUGGCUGUUGUAUUUGAGCAAACCUCCACUUGCUACACCUAGGACCUUGCUAUUACUGCUGCAUUUUCUGUUGUGUUACAGAGCUGAGCUUUGAAUUCCAUCCCUUCUGCUUCUCCCUCCCCUCUGCAUUUUCUGCCUCUGAAGCUCUGCCAGCAGGGCUGAGCCAGGGCUCUUCCCCUGGGGAGCAUCAGUGAGGGGCAGCCACUGGAGGGGCAUUUCCUCCUCACAGUAGAGCUUGUUACCUAUGGGCACUUUGUUACCCACUGGGACCUUAUUAUCCUUGGGAGGCUUCCUUGUCCUGACCCACAGGAGACCUUAUCCAAAAGGACUUGUUAUCCGUGGGAGAGCUCCGUGUUCCAGGAGGAUGUGGACUUCUGGAAUACCUCCUCUUCCAAACAGAUUCAUUAUCCGUGGGAGAACCUCAUUCUUCAUAGGAGACUCCCUUGUCUCAGGGAGAUUGUACUCUGUUCCUAUCAGGGAGCAGCUGGUUGCUUUCCCAGACAGCAGGGUGGCAAAUCCUGACUAAGCAGUGAAGCUGGAAGGAGUCCUAGCUUUGGUGAUGUCCCACAAGGAUGUCUUAGUGCUGAUGGAGAGCAGAUGGGAACAGAGACAUUUGUCUCCCUUUAUCCCACAUAUCAGCUUAGCUGUGGCACCAAGGCUGGUGUAACCCAGCUGAGGUGGCCAGGGCUGGAGAGUGUGCGGUCAGAACUGUCCUGCUGCCUACUGACUCCAGGAUGUGUUUCUGAUGUGGAGUUGCCCCGACGUAGCUGAAAAUUGCCUUUCAAGACAGCAGUUUGUCUUGUAGCCCCUGGGCACAGCUUUCAUGUUCCCUGUCCUGCUUGGCUUGCUAAAGAGAAGAGUUUGUCAUGGAAGAAAUGAUGUGCUUGUAAACAUUUGCUCAGUUUUGAACUGUUCUGUUAGAUCUGAUCUGCUUUUUAUUUGCUCUGUGAGCAGUACUCAGCAUUUCACAUGAGCAGUUCUGAGUGUUGGAGAGAAGACCCCGUUGGUGCAGCAUUGCUUGCCCAGACCUAUCUAUUGCAGUGUCUUCCAAUGCAGCAUUUUGUGGCAGACUUUUGCAAGUGAAUGUAUUACACAGGGAUGAAAUAAUACUCCAUCUGGAGUGAACAGAAGGGUGUUAUGCACUCCUUUACUUCAGCUAAGGAAGGAGCUGGGUUUCUUUGGGAAAACCAGGCUGGCCUUGGGAAGAAACUCCUUCCAAAGGCUCUCAGACUUCCUGCUGUUCUGUAGGGCAGCCGCAUCGCUCCCUGCUUGAGCACAGACACCUCUGUAAGGUAUAAAUGAGAUCUAUUAACCAUCUAAUUGAAGCUCCCAGAGGAGCUUAAAGGAGAACAUAAUUAAGGAGCCUGGAGCCUGGGCAGAAAUGUGAUGUUCUCUCCCUAAGUGCCUAAUAACUGAGGUUGGUGCCUUCUGCUUUGAAAUACUGGGUGCAGAAUGUUUUCAAUUAGUUGUUUCAGUGCAAAGAAAGGGGGGAAAAAAAAAAAAAAA